AUACUCCAGUUACUCUUCAGAUCAUAUAUAUCUUUCACCUUUUGCUAAAAAUUUCCAUGAAGGGGAACCAUUCUGAGUCUUAACCCAAUUGUUUGAGGCCCUGUAUCUGCAGGGUU
ensembl:snRNA U5 U5 spliceosomal RNA